GAGAAUCUCGAAAAGAACGUUGUUCAAAAUGGCGGCAAUGGUGGUUUGGCCAGUUUCCAUGAGAGUUUAUUCUAACGAAUAAACUCAAGGUUGCUGUAACAAAGCAGAGAUAUAAAAGUUUAUAAUCGUCGAAUUGUUAGUCCAUUGAAAUAUCAAAAGCAUGAAAGAAGUAUUCCCAAGGACGAUAGUGGUACGCUAACGCUGAUUUGAGUUUUCCGGUAUGUCAACAUCAAAGUCGCAAACGCACUUGCGUAUUACGCGAGAUGAAAAGAGACAGACAGAGAGAGAGAGAGAGUGAGAGAGAGAGAGAGAGAGAAAUGGAGGGUGAACGACAUUAGGGACGUCGAACCAUCCAACUCGAGCAACAAGGAUAAUUAUGGCAGGUAAUUACCUCUACUUGUAGUCGAAGGAUAGCAUCGAGAAAGGAGCUACUCGACUGUAUUCUCCGACAGAGAACUUUUACACUUUUCUUUGACGCAAGAAAGGGGAAAGUAAAGUGGAAAAAAAAGGAGAGAGAGAGAGAGAGAGAGAGAGAG